GACUGACGCUGAGGCACGAAAGCGUGGGGAUCGAACAGGAUUAGAUACCCUGGUAGUCCACGCAGUAAACGAUGAUAGCUAGCCGUUGGCCCGCUAGAGUGGCCAGUGGCCGAGCGAAAGCGAUAAGCUAUCCACCUGGGGAGUACGGCCGCAAGGCUGAAACUCAAAGGAAUUGACGGGGGCCCGCACAAGCGGAGGAACAUGUGGUUUAAUUCGAUGAUACGCGAGGAACCUUACCCGGGCUCGAACGGCAGAUGGAGGAAUCAGAGAUGGUUUCGCCCUUCGGGGCAUCUGUCGAGGUGCUGCAUGGUUGUCGUCAGCUCGUGCCGUGAGGUGUCGGCUUAAGUGCCAUAACGAGCGCAACCCUUGCGUCCAGUUGCCAGCGGGUGAAGCCGGGGACUCUGGACGGACUGCCACCGCAAGGUGUGAGGAGGGGGGGGGUGACGUCAAAUCAGCACGGCCCUUACGUCCGGGGCGACACACGUGUUACAAUGGCGGCUACAGAGGGGUGCUACCCAGCGAUGGGGAGCUGAUCCGUUAAAAGCCGCCUCAGUUCGGAUCGGAGCUUGCAACUCGGCUCCGUGAAGCUGGAUUCGCUAGU
rnacentral:rRNA from 1 species